rnacentral:rRNA from 1 species
AGAGUUUGAUCCUGGCUCAGGAUGAACGCUGGCGGCGUGCUUAACACAUGCAAGUCGAACGAUCCUUCGGGAUAGUGGCGGACGGGUGAGUAACGCGUGGGAAUCUGCCCUCAGGAGGGGGAUAACGGCUGGAAACGGCCGCUAAUACCCCAUAUGCCGAGAGGUGAAACGAAUUUCGCCUGAGGAUGAGCCCGCGUCUGAUUAGCUAGUUGGUGGGGUAAAGGCCCACCAAGGCGACGAUCAGUAGCUGGUCUGAGAGGAUGAUCAGCCACACUGGGACUGAGACACGGCCCAGACUCCUACGGGAGGCAGCAGUGGGGAAUUUUCCGCAAUGGGCGAAAGCCUGACGGAGCAACGCCGCGUGAGGGAUGAAGGCCUCUGGGCUGUAAACCUCUUUUCUCAAGGAAGAAGACCUGACGGUACUUGAGGAAUAAGCCACGGCUAAUUCCGUGCCAGCAGCCGCGGUAAUACGGGAGUGGCAAGCGUUAUCCGGAAUUAUUGGGCGUAAAGCGUCCGCAGGCGGCCUUGUAAGUCUGUUGUUAAAGCGUGGAGCUUAACUCCAUUUAAGCAAUGGAAACUACAAGGCUGGAGUGUGGUAGGGGCAGAGGGAAUUCCCGGUGUAGCGGUGAAAUGCGUAGAUAUCGGGAAGAACACCAGUGGCGAAGGCGCUCUGCUGGGCCAUAACUGACGCUCAUGGACGAAAGCCAGGGGAGCGAAAGGGAUUAGAUACCCCUGUAGUCCUGGCCGUAAACGAUGAACACUAGGUGUCGGGGGAAUCGACCCCCUCGGUGUCGUAGCCAACGCGUUAAGUGUUCCGCCUGGGGAGUACGCACGCAAGUGUGAAACUCAAAGGAAUUGACGGGGGCCCGCACAAGCGGUGGAGUAUGUGGUUUAAUUCGAUGCAACGCGAAGAACCUUACCAGGGUUUGACAUCCUGCGAACCCCUGAGAAAUCGGGGGGUGCCUUCGGGAGCGCAGAGACAGGUGGUGCAUGGCUGUCGUCAGCUCGUGUCGUGAGAUGUUGGGUUAAGUCCCGCAACGAGCGCAACCCACGUCUUUAGUUGCCAGCAUUCAGUUGGGCACUCUAGAGAGACCGCCGGUGAUAAACCGGAGGAAGGUGUGGAUGACGUCAAGUCAUCAUGCCCCUUACAUCCUGGGCUACACACGUACUACAAUGCUACGGACAAAGGGCAGCAAGCUCGCGAGAGUUAGCAAAUCCCAUAAACCGUGGCUCAGUUCAGAUCGUAGGCUGCAACUCGCCUACGUGAAGGAGGAAUCGCUAGUAAUCGCAGGUCAGCAUACUGCGGUGAAUACGUUCCCGGGCCUUGUACACACCGCCCGUCACACCAUGGAAGUUGGCCAUGCCCGAAGUCGUUACUCAAACCCUUGUGGAGGAGGACGCCGAAGGUGGGGCUGAUGACUGGGGUGAAGUCGUAACAAGGUA